CUGCUGCGGCUUGAUUUUUUUAAUUAAAAACAGGAUAGAUAUCCGUGUAAUUUAAUAAUAAAUAAAAUAAACUGGGGCAUGACCAGAUAGUGAAAACUCCCUUGUGUACAACGGUACCCCGCUAGUCGCACUCACGGAAUUCCGGAACAUCGAUAGAUGACACGCCGCCCAGCCAGGAGUGGAAUAAAAUAAAAUGGUCAAUACUCGCAAUGCGCAGCUUCAUCGUUUGGAAUUCCCGAUAUGAUAAUCCGAUUUACAAAAAAGCCCAUCAGAUAAAAAGCCGGAUGUCGAUUCGGGUUCUGACUAAACGAUGGGAACAAAUAUGCCAAGGACUCGCAUAGGGAUGGAAAAAAACAGGACAGUCGAAACGAAAUAAAAACAACGAGCGGUUGUUUAGCAGCAGAAAGGAACGCUAAAUGUAACGAAAAGUUGACGAGAAGGCGGUUCAGCUCGAUCAGCUAGUCCAGUCAAACUUUCAGCUAUGCGAGACUCACGCAUCAAGAACAAUUUGUGGCUCGCUGUCAGACGAUCGGUUACUGGAAUUAGUUACUAUAGAUGUCCAAGCAUUAGGAGCUGUAGAUGUAGUUGUCGGCUAGUUUGCGGUUUCGAAGCUCCUCCGAAUGCUGAAGCCUUCUGUGCCACUCUGUUUAACAUCACUCCAGCGAAGAUAAUCCGGAAGUGAGCCAUGCAGGGAAAUUGCCCAAUAUCAACUCGCCCAAUCUGCGGAAAGUUCUGCCUUAGACCACGAACCACAAGGAUGAUACUGCACCUGCCGACGAUAACGAAAACAUGGAGGAACUGACCAACCCCAGCUUAUGAGACACGUCUUAUUUAAAACUGAACAGAAUGAAUCAGUUCACCGGUUCAAUUCACAUAGCCGUUAUGUGGGAGAUGCUAUAGUCAAAAUUUAUGUGUGCCACACAUAAUGGAUAUAAUUGGAUUUUUGUCAGUGUAGACAUUGCAAUGAGUAU